UAAAAUUGGGAUUUUCCGCAGAGAAAAUGCAAGAUUUUCAGGUUAAAUGGUGGAUUUUCAAAGUGGCAUUGCGUGAUUUUCGGGUUAAAUGGGGGAUUCUUGAAGAGAUAAUGCAUAACUUUUGCGUAAAUGGGGGAUUUUCGAAGAGAAAAUGCGUGAUUUUCCCACUAAAUGGGGGAUUCUCGAAGAGAGAGUGUGAUUUUCAGUUAAAUGGGGGAUUUUUGUAGAGAAAAUACGUGAUUUUCGGGUAAAUGGCGGAUUCUCAAAGAAAUAAUUCAUAAUUUUCGGUUAAAUAGGGUAUUUUCAAAGAGAAAAUGCCUGAUUUUAAUGUAAAAUAUGGUGGUUUUGGAAUGAAAAUGCGUGAUUUUCGACUGAAGUUUGGGGUUUUUUUUAUUUGUUUGUUUUGUUGAAAAUGCGUGACUUGCGCGCAGAAUAUCGUAUUUUUGGAGUGAAGAUCUUGUGGGUGAAAAUUUCUUUUUUUCGCGGAGCACGUUUCAUUUUCGGGAUAAAGUUGGUAUUUUGGGGGAGCAGGCUGUCCUCAAAGGCAGUUGGUGACAUUUCUAAUAGAUAGGGGAGCUCGGAAUUCUGUAGUGAUACAGCAAGAGGCUGAGAAGCUGUAUGUGGAGCAAAAGGGCUGAGAUUCCUGUUGUGAACGGAGUGAAGUGCUGUUUGCCAAACUGACAGGGUCAGCUUAUGGCUGACCGGUGAGAAUCGUGUCAUCUACUCGCUUUGCAAUCGAAGACCAUUGUGAAGAUACUGUAGGAUUUGUUGUCUUCAUUGGGUAAACCCGGCACCUCCUGUCUGGCAGCGUGUAGCCUUUUGGCUCAAACAUCGAUCCCAAACCCCAAAGAAAUAGGGAGGCUGCAGCGUGAGUCCUUCGUGCAGCCCCCGCACUCCUUAAAUCAGAGAUGACUGACGAUACUGCAGUACCCCAUUUCUGCUGCGGCACGACGUGGGAUUUCUGAAGUCACGGCAGGUUUGGAGAAACGACAAAUCAUCUCCAGAAUGCGCUCCCUGAACAACCUGCCCCACAUGCAUGGGGCACAAGCCCCAUUUUGGGGGCAAUGACCCCCACUUGUGGGGCGCUACCCCCGCCCCCACUGUCACAGCUGUGCCCCGAGGACACCAUCACCCCACUGCACAUGGCCAUCAACUUCUCCCUGGACUUCACGCACCCCACGGUGACAUUGGCGUGGAGCGAAGUGGAGCAGGGGACAUGGGGGGGCUUGAGGGGACAUGGGGACAUGAGGGGACGUGUGGGGACACAGGGACAUGGGGGGACACGGGGACGUGGGGUUGAAGUGUGGGGUCAGAACUACAGACUACAGAGACAAGGUGACAUGCGGAGGUGAUGCAGGCAGGUGGGUUCUAGGGCCUGGCGCAUGCGUAGUGGGGUCUCAAGAGCUGUAAACUUAGGUGGAGAACUGCAGCUUCCACUAAUUUUUGUGGAAACAACAUAAUGGCCCACACGAACCUCAGAACUGCAGCAUGGCACAGUGUCUGCCUGUUUAGACCUGCCAGUGCCUGCAAUGGGGCCUUGCUAGGGCCUGCAAUAGGGCCUGCAAUGGGGCCUUGCUAGGGCCUGCAAUGGGGCCGUGCUAGGGCCUGCAAUGGGGCCUGCAAUGGGGCCUUGCUAGGGCCUGCAAUGGGGCCUUGCUCGGGCCUGCAAUGGGGCCUGCAAUGGGGCCUUGCUAGGGCCUGCAAUGGGGCCUUGCUGGGGCCCACAAUGGGGCCUGCAAUGGGGCCUUGCUAGGGCCUGCAAUAGGGCCUGCAAUGGGGCCUUGCUAGGGCCUGCACAUGCGCCAGCUCCGAGACCCCACUUUGCGUGGGCCUGGGUAAUGGAGGGACUGGGAAGGAUUGGCUGUGACUGGGGGGCACUGGGAAAGUCUGGGAGGGGUAUUGGGGACACUGGGAGGAACUGGGGGGGACUGGGAGAGGUAACAGAGACACUGGGAGGGGUAAUGGGGGCACUGGGAUGGACUGGGAUGGCACUGGGGGGACUGGAAUGGGAUUGGGGGACGUGGGGGGGACUGGGGGGCACUGCAAAGGGACUGGGAUGGGAAUGGAAGGGGAUUGGGGGGGCACUGGGAUGGGAAUGGGGGGUGCUGGGAAGGACUGCGGGGCACUGGAAGGGAAUUGGGGGGGGGGGACUGGGAGGGAUCUGGGGAACACUGGGAGGGAAUUGGGGGGGGCUGUGGGGGCACUGGGAGAGACUGGGAAGGACUGGGAGGGUAAGUGGGUGUAGUGGGGGGCACUGGAAGGGAAUGGAGGGGGCUGGGAGAGAAAUGGGGGGCUGUGGGGACACUGGGAGGGGUUGGGGGUCACUGAGAGGAGGAAUGGAGGGCACUGGGAGGGACCUGGGAGGGAAAUGGAAGGCUGGGGGGGCACUGGGAGAGAAAUGAGGGGGGGGCUGUGGGGCACUGGAAGUGACUGGGAGGGUAAAUGGGGGCCUGGGGGACCACUGGGGGGACCCUACAGCAUUUCACUUCCCCCCACCCCCCCCCGAAAAUUCAUCCUUGCCCCCCCACACCUUGGGGGGCACACACACUCCACCCCCCCCCUCAAAAAUAUGGGGGGGGGGUGUCUUUUAAAGGGCUAUCCCCCCCUGCGAGACCACUAAAUCUGGGGGGGGCAUCUGUCUGUCCCGUUCUGCUGUGGGGGGCACCCCCAGAAUGGUGCCCCAUGCUUCCCCAAUUAACCCCCCUUCCCCCCUCCCCCCCCCACUGUACAAUAAGAGCUCUUUACUCUUCUACGGAUGUCUCCAUAUAUUUUUUGGGGGGGAGGGACCCUCAAUUUGAGGGUCCCCAAAUGGAGGGGGGAGGGGGGGGAUAUAGAGGGGGGGGUGGUCACCGGGGGGGGCGGCGCCUCCACCAGCGCUCCAAAGCUUCACGCCAACCCCCCCCUCCCACCCCUGGGACCCCCAACCCCAUCCAACGGCCUCGAGGGGUCCCCCCCACACUUGUGGGGCGUGGAAGGACCUGAGGGGGGGAAGAUAGGGGGGAGGGGGGUCACUGUGUGUCACCAGUGCGGCCCCACUGAACCCAUAAAGACCCCAGUGUGACCCCAACGCCCCAUAGAGACCCCAUUGACCCCACAGAGCCACAGAGACCCCAUAAUGCCCCAGAGACACCAUUGACCCCAUAGAGACCCCCCAAUGCCCCAUAAAGA
ensembl:lncRNA